rnacentral:rRNA from 1 species
AACGAACGCUGGCGGCAUGCCUAACACAUGCCAGUCGAACGAGACCUUCGGGUCUAGUGGCGCACGGGUGCGUAACGCGUGGGAACCUGCCCUUAGGUUCGGAAUAACUCCCCGAAAGGGGUGCUAAUACCGGAUAAUAUCUUCGGACCAAAGAUUUAUCGCCUUUGGAUGGGCCCGCGUUGGAUUAGCUAGUUGGUAGGGUAAAAGCCUACCAAGGCGACGAUCCAUAGCUGGUCUGAGAGGAUGAUCAGCCACAAUGGGACUGAGACCCGGCCCAGACUCCUACGGGAGGCAGCAGUGGGGAAUAUUGGACAAGGGGCGAAAGCCUGAUCAAGCAAUGUCGCGUGAGAGAGGAAGGCCUUAGGGUUGUAAAGCUCUUUUAGCCGGGAUGAUAAUGACAGUACCGGGAGAAUAAGCACCGGCUAACUACGUG